rnacentral:rRNA from 1 species
GGGCCACUCCAAACCAAACCUACGCACGUAGAGGUCGGAGGAGGGUUCAGGAUGAGGAUGAUGACUUCUCUCUCUCUCUCUCUCUCUCUCGUAAGGGGAGGACCGGAGGAGGUUGGAGGGGGGGUCGACGGAGGGGAGGGUUUCGAGGGGUGAAGAGAGCGAGGCCGCAGCGUAAGCGGGGCCGGCGGGGCGGCUAAGGGAGCCCAGAAUAGGAGCGAACGCCGGACGGCUGUCGCCCCGAGGGGAGGCGAGCCUCAGAGGGGGCGCGGGGCGGCUUAAAGAGCCCGGUAAGAGAGGCCGCCGAGGCCCACGCCCGAAAGCCAGGCCCCGCGGCGCCGGGCGCUAGUAACGACCUCCUCUCGAAAAAGGCGCCUCCCCAAACCACGCCUCAGACCUGAUGGGCGCCGCAGGUAUCCAAUCUAGACCUCCAAAGCCGCGAGACCUAGACUCGACAAAGCCCACCUCCUUAGCCCUGACCGCCAGCGUUAGGAGGGUUGGUAAAACCACGACAGGCAAGACCCAAUGAUCCCCCAAACGCACAAGAUUUAUCCAACAUCGGGACGGUCUACUCCACUUGGUCCGACGAACGGUAACGAACAACGGUCACAACCAACGGUCAAAACCGAGGUGUUUAGACCGACCUCGGACUAGACAGGUUCGGUCGUAAUCAAGACACGAGAGACGCAGAUCAACUCGUUCCAACGUCGAAGAAAAACAACUAAAGCACCCGAAACAAAUCAUCGAAACUAUUGGACCUCUGACGUUCGUUUGUCUAGGGCAGGACGUCGAGAUCAUUAUUCCACCACGACCCCCUUCCGUGGUACUGGAUGAAAGGGCUCCUCCACCACCUCGUGUAUAAGUCGAAGAACGGGCGCGUUACACUGGCCUUGUGCCAAAGUGAACAAACGUUCCAUACCAUACUCUAACUUUCCGACUCGGCCGUUUGACAGAAACACCCAUUGACGAUACGACACGCGGGACUCGCACACCACGAAGCCAAGGGGUUACACGCCCGUGACUGUCACUUCCCCUUUGGUGUGAAACGACUAAAGUUGGAACACGGUGGACUAACCCCACCCAUGCGGCCUGGUACCUAGCUCCGUCGUCGGUCCCCGACGCACCCAGAACUCCUCGACGCCUACUUCGCCUACCACCACAGUCUACUCUCGGACCUCGACGAACGGUUUAGUAAGGGUGCUAAGUCCCGAGAUCAAGAAUAGUCGACACUCCCCAAGUCGUGGCUACCUGAUCGUCGAUAACGUUCAGUGACGUUCGAGGACUCCCUCAAUCUAAACGUCCUUUUACUCCACCUACUAGCUCCCGGUUCCACCGAGAGGACGAAGGGACUAAGGACGUGCAGGGAACAGAGGAACUUAAAGCGGACGUAGUUUCCCCUCCAAUUACGACCAAGUAAUCUCUCUGAACAACGAUCCAGGGGUUCAGAAGCCUCAAACUCCAACUUAGCUAGACACAGUCAUCUAUGUGAGAGUUUCUAUAAUUACGCGCGGGGAUUAAACCUCCUAGAUCCCUGACCCUUGAACUGUCUACUGAAGGUUCGACUUAGCAUAGAGUCCGACUGGGAACGUAACCUCUUUACGUUUGACGACUCCUCAAACAGCCCGAAAACCCUACGAAGGGGAAACACGGAAGGUAAGUAGAUAGGACAUACACCCGUUGAUUGUCCAAAUUUAAACUCGAUACGAGGCUGUGAACUAAGAAGGCUAGAGUGGUUUUACUAGUCGGUGACACACUUUGAGGUUGCAGAAACCCAUGACCUAACGUAGCGCCUAUUCCCGAACGUUCACCACCGGAGGUCAACGUUCCUAGAUGUUCUUGAGUCCCAUAAGGGCAGUCUGAAGAUAUAGCGGCCCAUAAGGGGUCAUUGUCUCCUCCCUGAACAACGUUAUAGGAAUCCGACAGUUUUUGACUCGAGUAACGAUAUAAAAACAGUAGUUUACUGCUUACGGCGUGACGAAUGAUAUCGAUUCUUGACGGGUUUAAAGUGCGCUAAGUCUGAGACAUAAGAACUCGGACCCUUCGGACUACGGUACUGUUUGGUUGGUAAUCUACUUCCAAAACCACGAUAACAAGCACUUACGUUCCCCGAUUCCGCUAACAGUUAUAGCCCAGAAGAGUGGCUGUUCCAAAAGUACAUAUAACCAUUUAAGCGCUUUGUUGAACUCUACGAAAGUUAUCGUAAACGACCUCUAUCACUACGCCCUUACUACGUACAAUACCUUCCUACGUUAUUAGACUCCUUCGACCUCUAAUCUCUAUCGGGUAAACCACUACGACGUGAGAACCUCUUACAAUGGUUCAUACUCUGUUACGCUAGGGAAACCUACAGUAGCACGUUACAGUGUCUUUUCCCCACGGUUUAGGAACGUAGUUUCUACGGUUACGAAUUACACCUCCAAUAUUUACUCCACCUACUCUCGUUACUUUACCUGCUCUUGGUACCUUAGGGGUUUCACCUGUUCAAUAUACAAAUGGCGUGUUGACGACCCCGUUCCCUACUACGCGGUUUAAAACAAUUUUAGGAUAUCUCGAUCAACUCUUAACGGACCAUAGAGGAACGACAUUUUCUACCAGCCGCCUUACCUUAGGCCGCCCCCGGACACCUGUCACCGUUCAGAGGGCGACGGGGGGAGCCGAAACAUCGCGGUCCUUUUCGGUGCAGUCACACGAGGAAUAGGACCUCGUAGAGACAGGCCCCUAGGUAGUAAGGGAAAAAUCGCAGACCAGUAUACCGGUGACGGAAAUAGGACACGUAAAAAGAAAAAGAAUUCUCCUGGUGGUUGGUUGGUUAGGAAGGAAAAAAGAAAAAGGAGAUGAUACGACAUGAGGCAUCGGUAAACGAAAACUGUAACCGUGUCACCUUACACGGAGACGACAGCGACAACGAGAACAACGUUUGCAAACAAACUUAGACUGGCUUUGCUGUUACCGGUUACUGGAACGAGGGCACUUUAGUACGUCGUCUCCGACCUUAUUAAACGACGAGUAGUCGGGUAAUGAAGUAAAAGCCGUGAAC